UAAUUAUUACGUGAAUAGUAACGUUUUUGGUGCGCAUCAUUUCUCGCGCAUCUUUCACUUUUCAGUUGUGUGUGUGUGUGUGUGUGUGUGUGUGUGUGUGUGUGUGUGUG